rnacentral:rRNA from 1 species
GAUGAACGCUGGCGGCGUGCCUAAUACAUGCAAGUCGAGCGAACAGGCGAGGAGCUUGCUCCUCUGACGUUAGCGGCGGACGGGUGAGUAACACGUGGAUAACCUACCUAUAAGACUGGGAUAACUUCGGGAAACCGGAGCUAAUACCGGAUAAUAUAUUGAACCGCAUGGUUCAAUAGUGAAAGACGGUUUUGCUGUCACUUAUAGAUGGAUCCGCGCCGCAUUAGCUAGUUGGUAAGGUAACGGCUUACCAAGGCAACGAUGCGUAGCCGACCUGAGAGGGUGAAGGGCAAAACAGGAACUGAGACACGGUCAAAACAACUACGGGAGGAAGCAGUAGGGAAUCGUCCGAAAGGGGCGAAAGCCUAAAGGAGCAACGCCGGGGGAGUGAAGAAGGUUUACGAAUCGUAAAACUCUUUAAUUAGGGAAAAAAAAAUGUGUAAGUAACUAUGAAGCUUUUAACGGUACAAAAUCAGAAGGCCAAGGCUAACUAAG